CAGAGCCUAGCUCUUCCCCUGAUCACCCGGCUCCCACCACCUCACAGGCCUCCCCAAGGCUGCUCGGAUCAGUCACCUGAAGAUCCUACAGUGCCAGGGAUUCUACCAAUUGUGCGGUAUCCACCCGGAGGACGUGAUCUACCUUGCCCUGCCACUCUACCACAUGUCUGGCUCCCUGCUGGGCAUCGUGGGCUGCCUGGGCAUCGGUCAGCCCCCCGCCCUUCUGUCAACAGAUGUUUAUUAAGUGUCAGCUGUCGAAUGCUUCCCAGGGAUGAGUUCUAAGGGCAGAGAAUCCAGAGGGAGGAGGAGCAGGGCCACACUCUCCCCAGAUCUUGGUACAGUGGGGACACGCACCAUGUUUCAUGCUCUGCCUACAGAUUGAGUGACCAGGGAGACCACAGGAUUCACAGAACUCCAGACUCAGGGACAAAGUGGGGCAAGGGUUCUGUCAGUCAGUCUAAGAAAGGGCAUAGAAGAGGGUGGGACUUGAGCCCGGGUACAGGGGUGGAAUAUUUGGGGCAGGGAAUCAGAGAAGGGUAUUGUCCUCUCAAAGGCAUGGGCAGGAAGGAAGGAAUGUGCCUGGAGCCUUGACCUGCUAGAGGUCUGGCUCUCCCUGCGGCUUCUUCCCAGGGAGCUGGCCCAGCUAGUGACCUGUCCUCCUUCCCUCUUCGCUUCCUGCUUCCGGCAGGGGCCACAGUGGUGCUGAAGUCCAGGUUCUCAGCUGGCCAGUUUUGGGAGGACUGCCAGGAGCACAGGGUGACGGUGUUCCAGUACAUCGGGGAGCUGUGCCGAUACCUGGUCAACCAGCCCCCGGUGCGUUUGGCCAGGUCACCCUGACAGUCGUCUGGGAAUUGGAGGGAAAGGAGAAGGAAGUGGGCGUGGCAUACAAGGAGCCCAAGAUGGCUUAAGCUACCUGAGGCUUAGGGCCUCUGAAAGAGGUCACAGGGGAGGGGCUUCGCACUGGGGACCUGGCGUUUGGGUGUGAAACCCCUCCCUCUCCCCCACUCGUUUCAGAGCAAAGCAGAACUUGGCCAUAAGGUCCGGCUGGCAGUGGGCAGCGGCCUGCGCCCAGACACCUGGGAGCGUUUUGUGCGGCGCUUUGGGCCUCUGCAGGUGCUGGAGACGUACGGACUGACAGAGGGCAACGUGGCCACUUUCAACUACACAGGGCAGCGCGGUGCUGUGGGACGUGCUUCCUGGCUUUACAAGGUGAGAGGAACCCCACAGAUCACGGGGAGGCUGGCGGGAGGGAGGCCCAGGCACUGGAAUGACCCCGAGCUGGGUCUCCCUUCCCCCAGCACAUCUUCCCCUUCUCUUUGAUUCGCUAUGAUGUCACCACAGGGGAGCCAGUUCGGGAUGCCCAGGGGCACUGUGUAGCCACAUCUCCAGGUUUGUGCUCAGGUGGGGUGGGUGGUGGUGGUGAAGGAGGGUUAGAAUUGGUGAAUGGGGUAGGGCCAGGGGCCAGGACGCUCUGGGCGAGGUGGACAGUCACUCCUGACCCCACUGACUCUGCCAGGUGAGCCAGGGCUGCUGGUGGCCCCUGUAAGCCAGCAGUCCCCAUUCUUGGGCUACGCCGGGGGGCCAGAGCUGGCCCGGGGAAAGCUGCUGAUGGACGUCUUCCGGCCUGGAGAUGUUUUCUUCAACACUGGGGACCUGCUGGUCUGUGAUGACCAAGGCUUUCUCCGCUUCCAUGAUCGCACUGGAGACACCUUCAGGUAUCUCCCAUAACCUGGCUCCUUACCCUGGACAUCUCUGUGACCCUGAGCUCGGACAGCCCGCCCCCUAACUCCUGCCUCACCUGGACUCCCAUCCAGCCUCUCGUUCUCAGACCUCACGAACACUCAGUCCCCGACAGUCUGGUACCUGACCUCUGACCUCUCUCUCCCCAUCAAGCUCCCCAGCCCUGAUCUGACUCCCAGCUUUAGAUCUCUGCCUCCCACAGGUGGAAAGGGGAGAAUGUGGCCACAACUGAGGUGGCGGAGGUCUUUGAGGCCCUGGAUUUCCUUCAGGAGGUGAAUGUCUACGGAGUCACUGUGCCAGGUACCUAAGCAAGGAAGGUGGGGGCGUCCUGCGGCCCAUCACCCCCGAGAAGCACGAGGCCUUCCUGGUGGCCGGCCUCGGGUGGCUCAUCCGCUCUUUAUCCUUCCAGGGCACGAAGGCAGGGCUGGGAUGGCAGCCCUGGUUCUGCGUCCCCCGCAUGCUUUAGACCUUGGGCAGCUCUACACCCACGUUUCUGAGAACUUGCCCCCUUACGCCCGGCCUCGGUUCCUAAGGCUUCAGGUAACCGCCACUCCCGCCCAGCCCCGCCCCCCAAAACCACAACAGUUGGUGAUUCCUGCACUCCACAAAGGGCUCCCACGGAAGACACUGAAGAAACGAACAGCGCCGUCCCAGACACAUGCUCCUCGGCCCCUCUCCCUGUCCCCCCCCAGGCCUGGACCUUCCCUUCCCUGUCACCUCUUGGCUUAGCCUUAUCUAAUGGCCCUGCCCCUGGAUUUGCCCCUUAACCAAUCCAGACACUCACCCGAGCUGACUGGGCAGGAUACUUUCCUUCCACACCUGUGGGCCCUUCCUCCUGCAGGAAUCGUUGGCCACCACCGAGACCUUCAAACAGCAGAAGGUUCGGAUGGCGAAUGAGGGCUUCGACCCGAGCACCCUGUCUGACCCCCUCUACGUUCUGGACCAGGUUGUAGGUGCCUACCUGCCCCUCACACCUGCACGGUACAAUGCCCUUCUGGCUGGGGACCUUCGAAUCUGAGACCUUCCAGGCCUGAGGCACCUUGGGAGGGACUCUGGGGGUGCUCUGAGACACGCCAUUGUGGGCGCACCAGGGGCUAUCAGGGAUCUUUUUUAUAUCAGUUUAUUGUCAUUUUAUAAUAAAUGGGACCAAGCCCAUGUGACUCUUUCUUUCUGAUCUGC
rnacentral:lncRNA from 1 species